rnacentral:rRNA from 1 species
UACGUAGGGGGCAAGCGUUGUCCGGAUUUAUUGGGCGUAAAGAGCUCGUAGGCGGUUCCGUAAGUCGGGUGUGAAAAAUCUGGGCUCAACCCAGUGGAGCACCCGAUACUGCGGUGACUCGAGUCCGGUAGGGGAGUGUGGAAUUCCUGGUGUAGCGGUGAAAUGCGCAGAUAUCAGGAGGAACACCGAUGGCGAAGGCAGGUCUCUGGGCCACUACUGACGCUGAGAAGCGAAAGCGUGGGGAGCGAACAGG